rnacentral:rRNA from 1 species
UGAACUUAAGCAUAUCAAUAAGCGGAGGAAAAGAAACCAACAGGGAUUGCCCCAGUAACGGCGAGUGAAGCGGCAGCAGCUCAAAUUUGAAAUCCGGCACCCGGUGCCCGAGUUGUAAUUUGCAGAGGAUGCUUUUGGCGAGGCGCCUUCCGAGUUCCCUGGAACGGGACGCCGCAGAGGGUGAGAGCCCCGUCUGGUCGGACGCCGAGCCUCUGUAAAGCUCCUUCGACGAGUCGAGUAGUUUGGGAAUGCUGCUCUAAACGGGAGGUAUAUGUCUUCUAAAGCUAAAUACCGGCCAGAGACCGAUAGCGCACAAGUAGAGUGAUCGAAAGAUGAAAAGCACUUUGAAAAGAGGGUUAAACAGCACGUGAAAUUGUUGAAAGGGAAGCGCUCACGACCAGACUUGGGCCCGGCGGAUCAUCCAGCGCUCGCCGCUGGUGCGCUCCGCCAGGCGCAGGCCAGCAUCAGUCCGCCGCGGGGGACAAAGGCGGCGGGAACGUGGCUCCCCCGGGAGUGUUAUAGCCCGCCGCGGAAUGCCCUGGGGCGGACUGAGGUUCGCGCGUCCGCAAGGAUGCUGGCGUAAUGGUCGUCAGCGACCCGUCUUGAAACACGGACCAAGGAGUCGUCCUCGUAUGCGAGUGUUCGGGUGUCAAACCCCCUACGCGGAAUGAAAGUGAACGCGGGUGAGAGCUUCGGCGCAUCAUCGACCGAUCCUGAUGUCCUCGGAUGGAUUUGAGUAGGAGCAUACGGGGCCGGACCCGAAAGAAGGUGAACUAUGCCUGUGUAGGGUGAAGCCAGAGGAAACUCUGGUGGAGGCUCGCAGCGGUUCUGACGUGCAAAUCGAUCGUCAAACAUGGGCAUGGGGGCGAAAGACUAAUCGAACCUUCUAGUAGCUGGUUUCCGCCGAAGUUUCCCUCAGGAUAGCAGUGCUGGUCUCAGUUUUAUGAGGUAAAGCGAAUGAUUAGGGACCCGGGGGCGCUACUCAGCCUUCAUCCAUUCUCAAACUUUAAAUAUGUAAGAAGCCCUUGUUGCUUGGCUGAACGUGGGCGUUCGAAUGUAUCAGCACUAGUGGGCCAUUUUUGGUAAGCAGAACUGGCGA